AUGUUUUAUCCCCUAGAAACUGGAGGUGAGAAGAUUCAUGCAUUUAUUGCUUCAUUCAUACAAGCCAUUUUAAUUAAAUAUGACGGAUGUACUCAAAACCCAAGUGAAUGCCAUUUCAGCGAGAAUACUGUUUUUUUUUUUUUUUUCCUUUUAGACAACACCACUUUAUACAUCCUGUGGGUGAUAUUAAACACAUUUGAUAACUGGUUUCUGCCCUUGAGAAACCUGGCCUCUAAUUGGGCAGAGGAGACUUUCACAUGUGGAAAGCUCCGGAGCUAUUUAAAGCACCUCCACCGUGGGCCAACCAACGCAGCAAGGACCUGGAAAUUAUUUGGCUAUCAAAGAGAAUCUGCUAAGGAUCUGUUUGGACAUAGAUGCCUGAUUUCCAAUUGGAGAAAGUUCUACAUAAAGAUGAAGGAAGAUCUGGAACAAUGUGGGUGAAAGAAGGAUGCUGAUCUUACAGUCCUUUGUUGGAGGGGACUACAGGGGAAGUGGAGUUCUUGGGGCUAGCCAGACUGUGGUUAGAUCAGAGGAGAUGCAUAGCAAAGUAAUUACAUAUGUAGGUAAGUUUCACUAUAAAAAUUCAGAUUCAAGUGAAACAGCAGAAAGAACCCAAGAAGGAGGUUUAGGGAAGUACAGAACAAUGUGAAGAAAGCGUAUUGGACUUUAAGCAGCAAGGAUAUGUGGAGUGGACUAGGAUGAUGUCAUAGGGGAGAGCAAUCCCAAGGUUUGGAACAGUAUUCUGGUAUAAAGUUACUUUGAUAUAAUGUUAAUUCAGUGUGAGGUGGGGGAAUUUUAUCUGUGCAGUGGGUCUGGUUGGCUAGGGGCAAAGUGGGUAGGGAAGCAGACGCUGAGUAAAUUGGGUUCUGUUGAUCCUGAGGCCACCUGAGGACAGAUCUCAAGUCUUCAGAAGCCUGGAACAUAGCUAUUGAGCCAAAAAUGGAUGUUGGUUAAAUUCUACUGAUUAUUUAGUAUUUCAAAAAUAGUAGAUUGAAUAUAUUAGUGAAUAAUGAAUGGUCAAUUCUAUUUUUAACAACUAUAAAGGAACUCAGGAAAAGUCUAACCAGAGAAGGGAUGUGGGCUGGAGUACAGUAGGGAGAGCCAUCAGGGAGUACACUCAAGUGUGACAUUCUCCAGGACUGGUGUAGGAGAGAGACUUGUUGGAGAAAUACCAUGACUUGGAUGUGUAGAGCGAAUCCUUGAUAUGCAGUGAACAGUAGGUAGCACUCAGACCUGGCCCUGGGGCCAGAGAAAGGAUUCUGGUCCUGGUUUUGCUCCUAGUUUCCUAUGUGAUUUUAGGAUAAUCUCAGAAUCCAAGCAACAAAGGACCUUUGAGUCCUUAGACAUUGAUAAAUCAUUUAACCCCACCCCAACACACCCUUGAUUUAUGUUUAAGCAAAUUGAGGCCCAACGAAGUAAAGUGCUUAGCUCAAGUUCACACAGAUACAGAGUUUGUUCUGGGACACUUGUCUUUAUGCUGGCUCACCCAUGAAUGGGUAAAGACCCCAGAAAAGCCGUGAGUCUAUGGCAGUCUCAAAAAUUUCCAUGGUGCUCAGCUAGACUGCCUUCUCCUGAAAUACUCUCCAAAUUGUACCAUCAAAUGAUGUUCUUUUCCCUCUUGACAUUGUUAGGAAUCUUCUGGUCACAUUUGACAAGUGGAGCAGAACUCAUAGGCUUUGCAAAGACCUUUCAUUAGCCAGAUACAGGAAGGCCUCAUUAAUUUGAGUGAAUCAGUGAAGGCCUAUCAAAAUAAGAUAUUUCAGCCAAACUAAACACUGACCCAAAAACCAGGAUGGGCUUCGUUAGUGUGAAGAGGCAUGCAUAGCAAUCUAUUGAACUAUCACACCAAUGUUCUCUCAAGUAUUAUUUUGUUAGGCUCAAAUCCCUUGCUGAGUGAUAAAUUAGUCUGAAUGAUGCACUCUUUAAAUUUAAAUAACAUUAUGGAUUUUUUCAAAUGUAUGCAAUCACUAGCUUUCAGCAUUUUUACAGUGUUACCUAAUGAAGAAGCUUCUCGUAGGUCUAUACCAAAGAUUCAAUUUGGUUGUACAUUAAAAACACUCGUAUUUGUGUGAAGAAUUAAUACACGUUAUUAUCUCCCUUCUGUUUCUCCAUCUAAGGUUCAGUGGACUUUACGUUGGAAAAACUCAACUUCAGACAGUUUAGCAACCUUUAAUGUCAUUCCUGAAGUUCUGUUUACAAAUCCCCCAAUUAACAAGUUCAAACCAUUUUGGGAAAAUUAUUAAAUUUCAGUUUGUGUGCAAAAGAAAAGGGCAGACAUGAGGUUUGACCGUUGAAAUCCUGCUGCAUCUUGGCAUUGUUCUAAUAGCAGAGGUUGGCAAACUUUUCUGCAAAUGGUCAAAAUAAAUAUUUAGGUUUUGCAUGUCA
rnacentral:lncRNA from 1 species